AACGGAGGUAAGUGAGGUGUAAAAUAUGGGGUUGAAAAAGAGUAAGAUCCAGGAAAAGACCCCUGAUAAACCAGGGAGAAAGGGAAGGUUUAUCUCCCUGACAUUCCAAGGUACAGUCCUCUGGGAUGGAUGUUAGAACACUGGGAAGACUGCCCUACGAGAAGGCAGAAAUCUAAGAAAAAGGCAGUCUACUACUGUAUGGAGAAGUGGGCUGAUGUAGAAAUCAGAAAACGUAUAUUUUGGCCCACAUUCGCGUCAUUUAACAAAGAAAUAUGUAGGGCAUUAGGGGAGUUUGCGUUUGAGGAGGGGUCUAAUGAGGAGGAAAUGGAAUAUGCUCGGAUAUGGGAGUACGGUAGUGUCGAGUUGUUCCCCGUUAGAGCACGUAAACAACCAAAGGAGUCGGUAAAGACUUGGGAACCUUUGGAGAAUCGACCUCCCUCGUACCGAAACCAUCGGAUGCAAGGACCUCUCCCCAAACCCGAGAACCCCAGACACUGCCCGGUAACACCGCAGGCACCACCACCCAAACUCCCGCAGGAGCCAGCGCCAGCGAUCCCCUCCCCAUUGGAACGGACCCUGUCCCUUCUACCUCCUCCCACGCAACCCAAAGAGAACACUGCAGGGGCAAUCCAUCAACAGGGAAAGAAUCCCCACCCGCCAGCCGCAUGAGACGUAAGACCCGGAAAGUACACACAGACAAUAGCGAAGACGAGGAGGGACAGCCGGGACUUUUUCUGCUCAGAGAGGUCUCAACUGCUCCGGGGGUCAUUGGUUAUGUAAACGUGCCAAUAAAUUCAGGGGAUGUGCGGGCAUUCAAAAAGGAAAUGGGGAAAAUCAUGGAUGAUCCCUUGGGGGUGGCAGAGCCACUAGAUGAAUUUUUGGGGAAUAGCAUUUAUUCGUAUGAUGAUAUGUGUGCUAUUAUGAGAUCGUUGUUUAAUGCUGAGGAGCGGAAUAUGAUACGAGUGGCUGCAAUAAAAGAUUGGGAACACAGAAACCCACAAGGGCGGAGCAGGGAGGUUAAAUGGCCCAACCAAAGGCCAUCCUGGAAUGCCCAGAUAGAAGAAGAUAGUCAAAAGGUGAUAGAACUAAGGAACAUGAUUAUCCAAGGUAUCCCAGGGGCGGUACCAAAGGGGCAGAAUUUGGGGAAAGCCUUGGGGGAAUGCCAGGGGAGGGACGAGACUCCUACUGAAUGGCUAGAAAGACUGAGGAAGAGUCUCCAAAUGUAUUUGGGUACUGAUCCUGACUCCUUGGUAGGAGUCAUAUUAUUAAAGACACAAUUCAUGGCAAAAUCAUGGGAGGAUAUACGGAAAAAGUUAGAAAAAUUAGAGGACUGGCAGGAAGGGUCAUUGCAAGACUUACUGCGGGAGGCUCAAAAGGUGUACGUGCUGAGAGAGGACAAGAAGCAAAAGCUGCAGGCUAAGGUCCUAGUAGCAGCAGUCCGAGAAGCACAGAAACAGGAAAAAGAUCCCACCGCGGGAGAAGCGGCACGUACUCGGAAACCUUCGAGAAAGCCUGCGUAUCCUCCGAAGAAACCUGCACUCCGGCAGAGGGAGGUGCCGGAGUGCUACUACUGCAAACAGAAGGGACACUACCAAAAGGAAUGCAAGAAAAGAAUGAAAGACGAGAAGAUGUUCCAGGAGGAUUAGAGGUGUCAGGGGCUUUUUAAUUUGGGGUCUGUAACAUCAAGAGAGUGUUGAGAUCGGCGGAAGAAAUGCAGCACUCAAUAUGAGUGAUCAGCAAAUCUCAGAACUUUAUUGAUAGGCACAUACAUUUAUAUUGGUGUUAAUGAGGUUAAUACAUAUUGCAAAAGGCAAGCUCAUUAUUGGUUAGUUACUUAUCAGCUAACUACGCCUACCUUAGCAUUCUUGCGACUACUAUGGUGCAGCUGUUCUCAUCUUUCCUUCAUAUUUCUAACGAACGAUCCUCUCCCCCAUCCUGAUGUUGCACCAAGGGCACAGUGCCCUUGCCUGAUUUAGACACUGACUGCUGGCUCCUCCACCUAUCUCCUUCAUCCCUAACUAACGGUAUUAUAUCAGUGUGACCUUUGUCAGCUAGCCAGCUGUUCACAAAAUCCUCCACAAUUGAGCAAAAGGGCAAGUCAAUGGAUCAUAGACAGCAGGCUGCUAAAAUAUGAAUUGACAUUAACCAAUAUUGAAAAUUUAGAAUUAGCCACUACAAACGUUAAAAACCCGGCCCAGUUCUAAGAUGGGGACCCACAAGAGAAUUUAGAACAUUGUUAUAUAGAGGCAAGUGAUCUACAGACCAAAGUAAGGGAAGACUUGCAAAAGCAGCCACUACCGGAAGGAGAGGUAUUAUUUGUUGAUGGUUUUUCCAGGGUAAUUGAAGGCAAGAGAAUAUCAGGAUAUGCAGUACAUAGGUGGAAAAAGUAUGGACAUUAUAGAAAAAGGGAGGCUGCCAGCAAAAUGGUCUGCACAGUGUUGUGAAAUUUAUGCCUUAUUAAAAGGAUUGAAGCAGCUACAAUAACAUAGGAACUAUCUACACUGAUUCAAAAUAUGCCGAUGUGGUGGUACAUACAUUUGGCAAAAUCUGGGAGGAAAGGGCAUUUAUAAAUUCAAAAGGCAAGACCCUACUCCAUGAAAAAUUUAUAAAAGAAACAUUAGAAACUUUAAAAGACCCUCUAGCAAUUGCAGUAGUACAUAUUAAAGGGCAUCAGAAAGGGAAUUCUAUAGAAGAACAAGAAAACAAUCUAGCCAACCGGGUAGCUAAAGAAGCUGCUUUAGAAAAGGAGGAGCAAAUUUCUACAACUAGUAGACACGGGGGACAAAGGUCAUGAGGAAAUCCCAAUCUUUAGUGAACGAGAACAAAAAGAAUUACAAAAACAUGGGGGAACUAAAGAUGAGAAAAUGGACAGUGCCAGAUAGGAUUCAGAUUUUAAACAAAGCUCUAGCCAGAAGAAUUUUACAAAACCUGCAUGCUUCAACACAUUAGGGAACACAAGCACUUUGCAAUCAUUUUCUGCAAAUUUAUGUAUGCAUAAGAAUAUUUGAAGUUGCUAAAGUAAUCACAAGAGAUUGUAUAAUUUGUCAGAGAAUAAAUAGGAAGGUAAUGAGAAAAGCGCCACUGGGUGGAAGAAAGUUAGCCUAGAGACUGUUUCAAAGUGUAUAGGUAGAUUUUACCGAACUUCCCCAGUCCAAAGGUUUAAGUAUUUAUUAGGAAUAAUAGAUAAUGUAACUCAUUGAUGUUGAGGCAUUUCCAACUGCAAGAGCUACAGCAGGCAUAGUUAGUAAGACUUUGCUUAAACAAAUUAUACCAAGAUAUGGAAUUGUAAACAUCAUUGAUAAGGAGAACUCAGACCUUAAUAACCCCAAAGAGCCAGACCUUUAUACCUUCUUUUGUAUUUAAAACUAAGUAUUGAUAUUAUUUAUAAUCCUUCCUUUUCUGUUUUCUAUUUUUUGUGAGGUGCUCAUCCAAAAUCAUGGCUUGGAACAAGUUUGCCAUGUUGUUCCUGCAGAUACAGCUGCUAACCAGCGAAGUGUAGAUUGUGCCCCAGCCCACACAAAACAUUUGGGUUACCCUAGCCUGUGUGCUUCAGAGAGACCAUCUAUGUUUGUCUAUGGCCUCAGCAGAUGACCCCAUGUCAACGUGCCUGGUGGGAAUCCUGUCCGCAUUUGAUCAAUAACCAUCAAAAAUUCGGGCCCUCAUGGAAAAAAAACCCCUCUAUGAUUUACCGUCCUCAUAUUCCGUUUACCAACCCAUUGUUUUUUUUGGAAAAAGUGGUCCGCCAAGUUGCCCGCACUCGAGAAUGAUCCUCCCGAGUUCGAAUUUUUAGGUUCAGCCAAAGCCCCAUUGUGUAUUCAGUUUAAUUUUAAGCCUUAUUUCUACCCUGAAAAUUAUACCUCAGUUAAGGUGUACCAGAAGGCGUUUCAAGCGGCAUUGUGGUGCAAAGAAAUCAUGCACCAAAAUCUGCCUCCCAGUGAAUGUCAGGUGCCCUUGAAACUUCUGAAGGGAACAUUUUUAAUUUGUGGGCAGAGGGCCUUGGGUAGGGAUCCCAUCUCACCUUAUUGGAGGUCCAUGUAUCAUAGAGCAGCUAUCCCUGUUUUUGCCCAACACCACUCAAAUUUUAAAUUGGCAAACUAAAUUAAAUAAUUUGGGUUCUCAAAAAGUAAAACGCAAUGCGAUGCAAUUGGAUGAGCAUUGUGACUCAAAUGUAGUAACCUGGUCCAAACCUGCAAAGGCUGCAGUGUCAGCAUUUUGCCUUGGGUCGCUGCAGCAAAAGCACUUGGGGAAUUUGGCCACCUCGAGUGCUGGGUUGAAAACAGGCCAAUUUAACAUCCAGCACACUCAGUGACCUCCUAGAGGAUGAAGAAGCAACAAGGAAGACGAUGCUGCAACAUCAAGCAGCCAUAGACUUUCUACUUCUAGCGCAUGGGCAUGAAUGCCAAGAAUUUGAUGGGCUGUGUUGUUUUAGUAUUUACGACAAGAGCCAAAACAUCCACACCUCGAUCAACCAAAUCAAAGAGCUAAUCAAGCAAGUUAAAGAAGAAACAGGAGACUGGUUUUCUAACUUGUUCAGCAGUUGGGGUACUGCUGUCAAGAUGGGUAACCUCUCUCAUCAAGAUAUUGGUUUAGUACUUUUAGUUAUAUUCUUAAUCUCUGUCACUGUUUGAAUUAUUAGAAAAUGUUUUCUUAAAACAACUGCAACUGAAAAACCUACUUCACCAAGAUCCUUGUGGGCCCAAAUCCACUUUAAAGUCCACAUCAGUGACCACCAGCAGUAAACUUUGUCAAGUUCCCCAAAACAACAAACUGUCAAAACUAAACAAAAAAGGGGGAAUUGUUGUGGUUUGUUUUUGGAUUUCAACUGUUUAAUUUGUAAUAUGUUAGAUUUUCCUGUGUUAGGAAAUGGUUCGUUCCAUACCCCCUUCUUCAGUUUCCCAAAUGGUUCUUCCCAGAGUUGUUUACCCAUAUUUUCCCACCUUUCCUUAUGCCAGUCCCCAUGUCAAUCUCCUCCACCCCUCCCAUGUUUGCAAAUUCUCUCUUGUCAGUCCUCUAAACCCAGCCCCUGCAGCUCAUCUGUUAUGGUUUGCUACACCCCUUUAGCCAGAAAAUUCCAUGUCAGUUAUGCUGUUUCCCUUCACCUAUUUUCCAAAUACGUUUUCACUCCUCCCUCCUUCUUCUUCAUCGGUGUUAAGUUGAUGUGAACCCACUGCAUGCUCCUCCUUGCUAACCCUGACUGGUUUGAAAGCAGUCUCCGCUCUUGAGACUGCCCCCCUUUAUAAACUGCUGUAAUCCUGUUGUCACUGCUCCCCUGUGUGUGCUCCGAGUUUGUUUCUUUUUAACAUCCUGGCACUUCUGCCUCCAGGGAAGAAUAAACAUCUUGAAACUUUGCUGCCAGAGAGUCCCUCUCUCUCUUUUUACCACUCAGCAUCAAGGAGGAACCUCUCCGGGUGGCCACCUUCAGCCAGGCCAAGUGGAAGGAGAGGUUCCAGCCAAAAGGCCGAACCACUACCCCUGGCCCCAGCUAAGGAGCUCAAGCCAGGAGAUUGGGUUUUAAUAAAAAUAUGGAAAGAACAGCCAUUAACCCCCAAGUGGGAAGGUCCCUUCUGGAUCCUCCUAACUACUGAGACAGCAAUAAGGACACAGGUCCCAAAGAAGAGAGCUUCCUCCCUCUCAUAUAGUAAUCAGGCCCUAAAAAGAAAAGUAAAAGACAAUAUAUGAGGAGGGAAGGGAGUUACUGCAAAGCAAAGUAACGUAAGAUCACAUUACAGGGGGAAAGACUGGGUCAGGAAACAGUCUUGCCACAAGACAGAUACACCACAGACCCUCCCAAAAGGCAAUGAGAAACAUGGAAGUUGGGAGAGUGCCGUGUGCCAGACCCCUGUUGGUGUUCAGGCUGCUAACAAUAACAAACAUCCAGGGAAGCCGGAUGGACCCCUGUGACGGGUACUACUAGCCACUCUAUGCAGGAGACUCUUGGAGUGCCAUCCUAAGAGUCUAUACGAAUCCCGAUUAUACAAGCCCUGACUGAAUUGACUUUUCCCAAUUAAAAAUAUGUAAAGGGCAGCAAAACCUAUUGGCUCUCCAAAAAUAUGGCAAAUCAUAAAAAAAACUGUUGGGAGAAUGCCCUAUGAAGGCAAAAUGGAUAUGUUCAGAGAAAAACUUCAAGAAAAAGUUGGAGAAAAAGAGAAUCCAUGAACCAGACUUAAUAAAAGAAAGGGAAGUGAAAGGGGUAAUGAAGAAAGGGAUGGGACUCAAAAUCAUAAGUAGGAAAAAUUUAUUUUUAGACCUAUUGAAAGGAUAAAUUAUGAAUUUAAUAUAAUUAACUGUUGGAUUUGUGGAAACACCAGAACAGCAGGAAUGUAGCCAUGGGAAGGAGUAGCACUGAGUCCAAAAGAAAUCCUAAAACUAAUUAAGAACCAAAUGAAAAGUCAAAGAUCAACACCUGAGUGAGAUGGGCGGAAUGAUGAAGAGGUGUGGAAUUUAAACUCAGAAGUAGUAGGUGAAGAAUGUUUAUGGAGGAAGAGAUCUUCUAAGUUUAUUUCAUAUAUGGGUGAGUUAUUCUGUAAAUGAUAGCUGGUCAGUAAUGAUGCCCAUCAAUGGUGGAUUCCCAGAGCCCCUCACCUAUAUUGGUCUAAGAAACCAAAACAAGGGUGUUCUUACAUCCAAAAAGAAAAGUUAUAUGAACGUUCCUCUAAAGAUCCUAAUACUUUUCAGUAUGAACCUCAAAUACAUAAAUUUUGGAAUAAAAAUGCAAUCACUUCUGUAGAACAUCACAAAUUUUGGAGGGCUCCAAAGGAGUUAUUUUGGCUUUGUGGUACAAUAGCAUACGUUAUAUUACCUAAAGAUUAGGCAGAAAGUUGUACCUUAGGAAUUUUAAGGCCUUCUUUCUUUCUACUCCUGAGAGAUGAAAGUCAACACCUUGGAAUGCUCUUACAUGAUGAAUUAAAGUGUAAGAAAAGAAAUCUAAUUGGCAGAUCUCAAAGGUGGGGGGAAUAAGAGUGGCUCCCAGAAAGGAUAACUGAAACAUAUGGCCCCGCCAUUUGGGCCCAGGAUGGAUCAUGGGGAUACAGAACCCCCAUUUAUAUGUUAAAUAGGAUUAUCAGAUUACAAGCUGUGUUAGAAAUUAUAUGUAAUGAAACAACCUUAGUCCUAGAUAUACUUUCUGCCCAAAACCGUCAAAUGAGAACUGCAAUUUAUUAAAAUCAGUUAGCUCUAGAUUAUCUAUUGGCAGAAGAAGGGUAGGGGUCUGUGGUAAAUUUAAUUCAUCAAAAUGUUGUAUUGAAAUUAAUGAUCAUGGAGAUCUCAUUAAAAACAUCACCACCAAAAUUAGAAAACCGGCACAUGUACCCAUCUAAAGAUGGACCCUGCUAAUAAAAUCCAAUUGGUGGGACAGCCUUUUAGGAGGAGAGUGGUGAAAGAAAAUUUUACUUGUUGUAGGACGGGACUUGAUAAGUAUUACUUUACUCCUCUGUGUUAUACCUUGUUUGAUUCGGUUAAUAACGUAACAUUGUUCAGAAUUCCCUAGAAAGAUUAAGUGAUGAGAAGAUUAAAAAGCUCAUGAUAGUAUAAGAAGAAGAACAAGAGAAGGACUCAGAAACUGCCAAAAAAACUUAUAAGAAAUACCAGAUACUAAAAAAAUUCUACCAAGCCUAUGAAAGUCGUGUUUAAAGAAAAAGUUUGAUGUGGGCUAAAGCCUAAUCAAAGAUUUAGAGGGAGGAGUUGUUAUAAAUGAAUUCAUUUUCUUCAGUAGAGUUACUAACGGUUGAUUAUUAUAAUGAAUUAUAGUAGAUUGUUAAUUAAUAUAAUAAGUUGUUAUAUAAUUUAUGUAAAAAAUUAAAGAGUUAAAUAUACGGUUAUUUAAAUAUAAAUAGAGAUACUCUACAGAGAAGAAGGGGCUAAGUAAUAAAGUGCAAUAAUAAGAAUCUUCUAGAAAAGUUACAUCAUAAGGUGAUGACAGCAGCUCGAACUACAACUGGAGACAGAGCCACCCAAUAAGAUUGCUGUAUUCCAAAAUGAUUGGUCAGGACUGCACCAUUUUAUGGAACUAUCAUAGAAACGCCCAAGAAAACAACCAAUCGACAAGAGGAUCCAGAGCGCACAAAUCGAGUAACCCCAAGAAACUUAAAAAACCCUGGGUGCAGAGCACCCGGGGCCUUUUGAUGGUACCUUGUGUUCCGAGAAACACCUUGUUACACAGUACUGUUUCAGGUACCCUGGCUUGUUGCACAGGCCCUAAGUUUACCUUGGGGCCUCGUCUUCUGUUGUUCUCAGUUGUAAUAAACAGGCACUAUUUCUUUUCCAAGCCAUCAGCCUCCUUUUAAUUUCAUUUUGCCUGUUUACAACAUAAUUGUACCAAAAGUUUUGAUUCUUAUACACAGGGGGAUAGGGAGAAACAUUUUUAGAGUGAUUCCUUCCUGUGUAUUUAAAAUGAACACAAAAAUCCAAUUUCUCAGAACCCAGGAAUUCUAAUUCUUGGGCUUCCACCAAGGGUGUUUCAGGAGGGUAAGGGAUACAAUUUGAUAUUACUUGGUUUGCUUUCAAAAAUAUUUAGUGUAAAUAUAGUGUAAAGUUCUGGAGGUGCUAUAUUCCCCCCUAAUUUUUUGGUUUUUAAUAGCAUGUGUGUUUAUGAACAUGAAGGUGACAUGAAAGCAUAACAAUAUGUAAUAAAAAAAUAAACCUAUACUAAAAAUGGUAAAAUAGUAGUAAAAAUUAAUCAGAUAAUAGAUACAAUUAGUAGCAUGUGAAAAAUAAGAUGGUGAUUUAAAAUAAUACAUGAUCAGUUUUUAAAGUAUUGUACUAUUACUUAGAGUCUGUAGUAAUUGGCAAGCUUUAUUUUUUAAAGUGAGGGCUUGAAAAAUCAUUCCCCAGAUAAGAUGUCCAAGUUCACCUUAAAAGGAGGUUUAGCUAUUAUAGGUCCAAAUUUGCUAGGUCAAAAUUACUUGAAUAUAAUUUUGGAGCAGAAAAUUUUCUCUACUAGUUAAGGCCAGGACUUGGCCAGGGCCUGGGCUUUUAACUGGAAGAGUCUUUUUAAUACAUUUUAGAAACCUCUUAGUAAUAGUAAUUACAAAAAUAAUAUAUGUCUUAUAAAUAGCUAUAUAAUAUAUGUCUUAUAAAUAGCUAUACAACAAUAAGUCAAGGUUUGUAAAGUAGCUGGCUUUCUCAUUUCUCAUUGGUUAGUCAAUGGUACCAUAGACAAAUAAAAAAUGAAUAAAGUAAUGCUUGUUAUAUAAAGUCAGUGAAUUCACAUCAUAAGAUUAACAACAUAAUGAGGCUUACUAAUACAUCAGUAGAAACUGUCUUAAGAAACUGAAGUUGCAUUUGCUAGACAUUUAUGCAUAUAUGACAUUAAAGCAAAAAAAAAAGUAAAAAAAGAAGCAUUAAAUAACUCAUAACUGUGAUGGACAAGUUUAUAAGUUAAUGCUAUUGAAAUUGUUACUGUUAAUGUGAAGUUGCAAUAAGUUAAGUGCAUUAAUUAUGUUGUUGUUAAAAUGUAAAACCUUUAAUGUUACUGUUGACCUGAAGUUGUAAUAAGCAAAAUUGUUGUUAUGAUGUUAAACCUGUUAGUUACCUCCACUGUUAAUCCCCUCAUUUCACACCUACCCUUGUUACCCCCGUCAGGUGCUGCCUCCACUGCUCUCUAAAAUGGCACCGAGAUAACCUCUCUGGGAAAUAUGCAAAUUAAGGGGAAGUCAAGGGAAUCUGACUAAAGACCCUAAACCCAACAAGCUAAACCAAAAUUUAAGAAACUAAGUGAAGGGUUCUCCUGGCAAAAAGUACUCCUACUCCAUUAGUGAGGUUUUAAAAUCACUGUAACCUAAACGGAACAGAGUCAGGAGUUAGGACGCUAGACUUCAAGCAAGGCAGUUGUCUUCCUAGGCACGCUCGUGAGGACGGAAGCCCCAGUUCUGCUGUGCAGCAAAACUGCGUCACCUCCUCCUCUGCGUUGCUACAGGGAGCAGUGGCGGUGUGCGCGACUACUCAGACCCCCACCCAGAGCUGAUCAUCUAAUAAAGGCAUCAAAAAGGAGAAAGAUCUCCUGCCCAUUCAUUUCAAUAACUAUAAUGGUCAUAAUAUGGAAUUGUUUCUCAUUCUUCAGUAUGUUAUUCUCCAAACUACAGAAUUAGCUUUUGCAUGUUUGAUUAAUUGAGAAUUAAAUUAGAAAAAGUUAUUGUGGUUGUUGAUGAACUGAUGAUUACCAUGUUCAAUCCUGUUAUUAGUUAGUACCCACAAGUUCUAAUUGUAUGUUAAAUACAUUACCCCUUGUAAGUGUGCCUUUUCCAUAAGUUCUAAUUGUAUGUUAAAUAGCACUUUUAAGUGUGCCUUUUUCCAGAAGCGGAGACAGCCAACCCUCACAAACAGCAGUUUAAGAGUUAAUUUUAGUCCCUGACCAUUGGUCUGCAGCUAAGCUCUGUGACAACAGGAAUUUAAAUGAGGAACUUUCCCACCUUUGAAGCAGAUGACAUCAUUCCAGAAAUCUGUCCCCUAACAAGGAGCAAGCCAUUGGCCAGAGAACGCGACCUCAUGAACACUCUCACCAAUCAUAGUAAACCUUAGAGGCUGGACUAUGGGUGUUCCUGGCAGGGGGCAGAGGAGUUAAAAAACCCAGACACAGAAUGACAGGGGUCUUUCUCCCUCAGACUAGCCAGGGUAAAUGUCCUACACUGGGAUCAUAAGGCAAUAUGAGAUUAGAGAUUUUAUAAAAACAAGACCGGAGUGAAAGAAUCUCUGCUCCCGGGCACAUAGCCUACUUGGCUCAGAGUCUUUAAUCCCCUGGUUCCCAGUUUAGUCAUUUCUAUUAAAAAUUAAUUACAAAUAUUUUUAAUUAAUCUUUUUAUAAUAAAUAGCUUUUUGGUUUAAUUCCAAGAGUUGUUCUCAUUCCUAACAAGUAUUACUUAUAAAAAUAAAACAGCAAAACCUAUUAUUUCUAUAACAAAAUAGCAUUAUCUUGUAAUUUAAAUGAGCAAAUUUGGUGUGUUGUGUUUUAGUUGUGCUAAGUUGUGCCUUGUAUUUUGGAUUGUUGUGCUUUCCCUUCCUAUUCACGUAAUGGUUCUGCCCUGGUUGUCCCCUCCUCCUCCGUUUCCCUCAGUUACCUUACCUCCUCCCUGGUCACCCUAGCAACCACUGUAUCCACUCUUCUGCCCCUCCCCGAUACACUGUCAGCCACUCGAUGACCCCUCUUCUCCAUCUAGAAUCUUCUCUCCUGGGCGUGGAGUGAUUGGUUCAGGGACUGGGCCCUCCCUAAGUUUUCCUCCACUGGCAGUCCAAUGGUGUCAUUCUGCCUUUCCCCACGCCCCCCUGCA